rnacentral:lncRNA from 1 species
UUGUUUUCACUUGCUUUUUAAAGACAGAAAGCUCAUGGUGCAAAUUGUUAUUUCCAGUGCGAGGGCUGGAGGCCUGGCAGAAUGGGUGCUGAUGGAGCUACAGGGGGAGAUCGAGGCUCGCUACAGCACUGGAUUAGCUGGAAACCUCCUGGGAGACCUACAUUACACCACUGAGGGAUACAUUGGCCUGCAGGUCCCAGUUCACAUGUAGUCCCCUGCUCACCAUUGGAGAAUCAGCUCACUGCUCUCUAGAAACGUGGCGUUGGUGAACGGACCAUGCUUCCGUAGCUCUGACCUGGGCAGCUUGGACCUGGUCAUCCUCUACUGCCAUACCUUUCCCUGGGGGCUUGAACACAGAACAGGGAGAUGGACAACCACUUCAAAGAAAGACCCACCGAAUGCAGUUUCUGCUUGACUGACUGGGCCUGCAGCUCCCUUCUCCUGGGACUUAGAGGUGGCCAGAUUUAAGGCCCCUCUACUCAUCCAACUCCCUCUUCACUGGUACUCCCAAUCAAUCAAAGAACCUCAAAAUUUAAACUGAUGUGGAUGGGAAUAUGGGAAUUAGGG